rnacentral:rRNA from 1 species
UACGAAGGGAGCUAGCGUUGUUCGGAAUCACUGGGCGUAAAGCGCACGUAGGCGGAUGUGUCAGUCAGGGGUGAAAUCCCGGAGCUCAACUUCGGAACUGACUUUGAUACAGCACGUCUUGAGUCCGAUAGAGGUGGGUGGAAUUCCUAGUGUAGAGGUGAAAUUCGUAGAUAUUAGGAAGAACACCGGUGGCGAAGGCGGCCCACUGGAUCGGUACUGACGCUGAGGUGCGAAAGCGUGGGGAGCGAACAGG